GUGUGUGUGUGUGUGUGUGUGUGUAAUUGCCCAGUAGAACAUAAGAUCUUUGAAGGUAGGUUUUAUACCAGUGUCUAAAACAAAGCCUUUUACUUUUUUUUUUUUUUUUUAAGGUGACCUAUGAUUUUGGGAUAAAGAACUUCUAACAAAAAAAGAUGGUAUUUGCUCUGCAACUUAAGACUUGCCUGGGACAUACUGAGAAGUUAAGUGUCUUGUCCAAGGCCAUACAGUGAGAAUGUUUCAGAGAUGCAGACCCAACAGCAGAGGAGUAGACCCCAACCAGAAACAUCCGUGACCUGGGGAAUCAAGAAGGAAAGGACCAGAUGACAUCAUCCCCGACGGCCCAGAAGGAUCUGCCAGAUGUCAGCAGCCCCGAAGACUAUGAACACAGCAUCAGUGUCCCAGCUGAAUUGAACUGUCCUGGUUGAUGCAUGAUACCUAGAGACUGACAGAACUGGACAAUGGACUUGGGUACUUCUCCCACGGCUUCCCACUAUUCAUAUGGUGUCUGGGGAGAGGCUUUGCCCCAUUUUCCACUUGUAGGCAAAGCCUUUAAAUUAGUAGGCGAAAGACCAACAUCCCCACCUGCCAAAAUUAGUUAGACAGUGCUACAGAAUAUGACUUUUCUUGGGUACACCCUCCUCUGUGCCUUUCUUUGCUGGAUACCAAAGGGUGUAUACAAUUGAAACCCCAGAGCUUUACCUCAGGUAUUCAUUUAGUACAUGACUUACAACAUCCUACCUCCCUGAACAAGACUUUCUCAAGUGAGUUGAACGCCAUGUUACCUUUUCUGGGUUCUGGUCUUUGCUAGGACCUCUCUUACCAUUUUAUCUUUUGUUUGCCUUUUUUCUAUUUUUAUACGCCUUGUAAUCUCGUUGAUUAAGUAGCUGUUGUUGAUGUCAAAGCUAGUUUGAUGCGAUGAGCGGUCCCUGCUAAGCAAGAAAAGGGAGUUGUCAGGGUCUCAAGAGGAACCUAGCAUGUUGCAACAAGGGAGUCCAAAGGCACCCAGAUGUGAGCUCUGCAGCUAGCAGGGACCCUUCAUGAAUGGGAACUCUAGUUGCACUGAGGAUGCUUCAUCAAUGGGAAAUGUCUCCUUCUCUUAUUGGCUGUGUGUGACCUCAUAGACCCGAUAUAAGUAGUGGGGACCAGGAAGUAGAGGAGUGCAGGAUGUGAUCAUGUACAAUAAAGAGUGGAGCUCGCAAGCCCCUGUGUCCGGGUGCUCUGUUAAACAAUGAACUACUGCUCCACGAGGCAGUGGUUGGAGACGGCUGAAGACCUGGGAUUAGGUAAGACUGGCGAUCAAUAACCUAGAAGGGAGGUUACAUUUUACAUGUAUAAUCAAUUCAUACUCAUGACCUUUGCUAUGUAAACGCCUUUUAACUACCCUAAUAAAGGCAAAAUUCUUAGGAGUUACAUGUAUCAUCUUCCCAUAUAGGAAUGUAAACAGAUUUACUUUAUAAAUUUUAUGAUUAUACUUUCAUGUUUACCUUUUUGUGCUUCUCUUGAGUCUUCUGUUCAAUGCCAAAUUUUUAUUUAGCUUUAGUCUUUUCAUCAGGAAUGUUUGAAACUCUUAUAUUUCAUUAAAUAUCCAUUUUUCUCCAGAAGAAUAGUACCCUUUCUGGGUAAGUUAUCUUGGUUGUAAUCUUAGCUCUUUUGCCUUCUGUAAUAUUAUAUCCCUAGCCCUCCAUUUCUUCAACAUGGAAGCUACUAUAUCUUGUGUGAUUGUGACUGUGGUCCCAUGAUAUUUGAAUUAUUUCUUUCUGGAUGCUUGUAAUAUUUUCUUUUUUACCUGGGAGCUCUGAAAUUUGACUAUAAUAUUCCUGGGGAGUUUUCAAUUUGGGACCUGUUUCAGGAGAUGAUGAAUGGUUUCUUUCAAUUUUAAUUUUACCUUAUGGGUUUAAGAUAUUGGGAGCAGUUUUCUUUGAUAAUUUCUUGAAAUAUGCUGUCUAGUUUCUUUCUUUGAGCAUGGCUUUCAGAUGUUCAAUAAUUCUAAAAUUAUUUCUCUUCAAUCUAUUUUGCAAGUCAGUUGUCUCAGUAACAUAUUUAACAUUUUCUUCUAUUUUUCCCAUGCUUUUGAUUUUGUUUUUAUUGUUUCUUGAUCUCUCAUAAAAUCAUUAGCUUUUGCUUUUCUAAUUUAAUUUUUAAGAAGUUAUUUUAUUCAAUGAAUUUUCCCUCUUUUUCUAUUUGGUCAACUCUGCCUUUUAAGGAGUUCUUUUCUUCAGAACAUUUUUUAUGUCUUUUACCAGUCAGCCAAUUCUGCCCUUUAAAAUGUUAUUUUCUUCGGUAUUUUGUGUGUUUCUUUUACCAAGCUGUUAAUUCUAUUUUCAUAAUUUUCUUGCCUCACUCAUUCCUUUUCCAAUUUUUUUCUUCCAGAGAUUCUUGUUAGACUUGGGUUUAAUGAGCAUUUUUCUUUGAGGCUUUUUGGUAGCUGUUGUCACAUUAUUGUCUUCUUUUGAGUUUAUGCAUGUUCUUCCCUAAUUCUGUAGUAGCUUUUUUAUGGUCAGGUUCCUUGUUGUUUGCUCAUUUUAGCAGUUGAGUUUUUUACUUCAAACUUUAUGUUAAAGUUGAGCUCUCUUCUUCUCGGGGUGGGGAUGCUCUGUCCCAAGCUUCAGGCUUUUUCAUCUGGGAGUGGGGAUGCUCUGUCCCAAACUUCAGGCUUUUUUGUGCUGUUGUUUUAAGAGAAAGUUCUGAGAUUCUACAAGUUUUGGGUGCCUCCAAAGUGAUGUGAUCCUGGGAUGGGUAUGGCUCACUGCUUUCCUGGUUUAUGGUCUUUACCCAGGUAUGGCCCUCUGGUCUCUGCUGCUGUAUGUGCUCCUCUUUGCUUUGAAACUAUGACUAUGGUCCUUGUUCAAUCCUAAGUACUCUUUUCUGUGGUGAGCUUUUUCUUCUCAAAUCGCAGCCAGGUGAUAAAAGUUCAGAUCUUUUAUUAUCUCCAAUAUAGCCCGGUUAGCUUAGAGGCCUAUCUCUCUGCUUGGUUCCAAGAGCUCUCUCCGAAUGUCGCCAAAUCCAAAGGUCUGGUCCUUCAGCCUCUGCCUCUGCUUUCUUCAGCCUCCAGCCAGCUCCACUCUUCAUGUCAUUCCGGUGAAAUCUUUCAAAGUGCUCUGUGUCUGCACCAGAGUGCUCCUCUCCAAUGCAGCUGAACUCUCUUCUUCGACCAGCCAGCCAAGUGGAAAAUAUAUUCUCUCUUGCCUUGCCUUGGAGAGAAGGCUUCUGGCGUAAUUCCGCUGAAAUCUCGACUUGUAGCUUCUUCACUCUGAAGGACUUCUUUGACUGGCCCAUUGAAGCUCUAUUUAUGCUCCUUCAAGAGAGGGAUUGUGGGUUUUCUCCCAUAGUGCUCUCUGGCCCAAAGAGCUUCAAGGGAGGUGUGAACUCAUUGAACUCCAAUGAGUAAAGGUGUGAACACAAGCCUUGUAUUAAUUAGUUCUACUUAGUAUCUUGUUUCAGGUUCUGCCCAAAACAUCUUCUUGUAAGAUUAGAUCAACUCUAAUUAGUUAGCAGUUAGUAAGGAUUCCAACACUUUUCCACCCUGAAACUGCAAGCCAGAACUGCAUGUGGACAAAAGAAUUGUAGUACCAAGUACUAGCAAAGAGUUCCACAUAAUCCCUUUCUGAAGAGCUGUCUGACUCACUUACCAACUCUGCACUGAAAGCUCUAAAAAUUGCUGUUGUCAUCUUUGUUGCAGCUGCCACAUGUGAAUGCUCUGGACAGAUCUCCACCAGACCUCCAUCCUGGUGUUAUAAACUUCUCUUGCCUAGUUAUUAAGGUUUUUAGGCAGGGAAAACAUCUUACCCUGACUUUUUGUUGGCUCUGCUACUCCAAAAAUUGAUUUGAGGCAUUAUUUUAAAGUUGUUUGGAAGAGAAUAUUGGGAGGGUUCAAAUAGGUAUGUGGCUUCCUCUAAUCUGCUAUGACUGCUUGCUUAAUAAAUGAGUAAAUGCUUAAUAAAUACCUAUUGAUUCACUAAUUGAUUCCUUUUCUUUUUUAUAGAGACACAGAAUUUGAGAGAAGAAAGGGUCUCAUCGGUCACUUGGUUCAAGCCACAAAAUAAAGGAAGCCACACUACAACAUACCUGACAAGUGGUCUUCCAACUUCUGCUUGAAGACCUCCAAGGAGAGGAAAUCCCACCAUCUGUCGAGGUUAAUAGGCUUCUUUGAAACUUCCACGCAUUGUACUUGUGUCUCCCCUCUAAGCAAACUCUUUUUUUAAUUUGUUCUGGAGCCUGGAGAAGGCUCAAGUCCUUCUUCAACCUGGCUACCCUCUUCUGGAUGGUCCGAAGCUCAUUAACGUCCUUCUUAUACUGCAUCCCCCAGAACAGAAUUGUAGUUUGACCAGAGUAGAUAACAGUAAAACUACCAAAUCUUUAUUCUUGGAAGUUUAUGCUUCUUACUUUUGCCCAAGAUUGCAUUAGUUACCGUCUUCUAAUUUAUCCUUCUAUUUUAUCCUACCUCUAAAGACUUUUCCUCUACUCUUCCUUGACUUCUCUCUAUAGCAUCUGAUGUUGCUGAUCUUGCUCCUCCCUACUUCUGAAUCAUCUCUCUAUUCCUAGUUUCAGAGGAAAUAACACUUUCUUAAUUCUCUUCCUAUUCUUCUGAAUUGCACUAUUACUUUUCUUCCUCUUUUAUUAGUCCCUCUUCCUUGUCUUAAACUUUAAGGUGGGUGCCCCCUACCCUGAAUAUUACAUCUUUGGUUCUCCCUUUUUUCUUUAUAUUCUCUUUCUUUGUUCAAUUCCAUUAACUUUCAUAAUUUCAACUAGUACCUUCAUCCAGAUGAUUGUUAUAUUUAUACUUUUAGUUCUGACCUCUCUUCUAAAGUAUAUGUUAAUAUUUUUAAUGACUAACCAGUUCUCUUUACCUGAAUAUUCCCAUCACAUAUCAAAUCCAUAGCACAUCAUAUUAAACUUAUGAUUUCUUCCUCUUAACCUAUUUCUCAUUCUGACCUUGCUAUUUUCAUCACUAUCAUUACCAUUUUCCCAGACUCAUAUGUUUAGUCACUUAAUCACCUUUGACACUGCCCUUUCCUUCAUCAUUCACAUGCAUGAGGUUACAAUAUCUUGUAGAUUCUACCCAUAUUUGAUACUUACUUAUUUGGCCAUUCCUCCUCGGUCUCUUUUGCUGGAGCAUCAUCUAUAUCUGACACCCCAACUAUGAGUAUACUCCAAGGUUCUGAUCUGGCUUUUCUUCUUUCUUUAGACUCUGGGUGAUCUCAUUAGCUUCUGUAGAUUCAAUUGUUAUCUCUAUGCUGAUCUAUAUAUGAUCUAUAUAUCUAGCCCUAUUUUCUCCCCUGAGUGCCAGUCCCACAAUACUAGCUGUCUAUUGAAUACCUCACAUUGGGGAUCCCAUAAACAUCUCUAAUAUGACAUGAGGUAGGCAUGGUAUAUAAGUACCUGUUUUUUGAAUCAAAGGACUUUGGUUAAAAUUCUAUCUUUAAUACUCAUUACCUGUGUGAACCUGGGCAAAAUGUUUGAUCUUCUUGGUAUUGUUUCUUCUCUAAAAUGAGGAAUUGGAGUAAUUCUUCUCUGAUCUGUGGUUUUAUGCCAAAAAGAGAAAUUACUUUUACUUCCUCCAAUAUACUUUUCUUCCUAAAUUUUCUAUUUCUAUUGAGGGCACCUCCAUUCUUUUAAGCAUCUGGUUCACAUCCUGGUAGUCAGUCAUGAUUUUAUUACCUUUGUCAUCUUGUGGAUUUUACCUCCACAAAAUCUUUCACAUCUGUUCCCUUUUCUCUAUCCACACAGAUACCAAUCUAGCUCAGCACCUCAAAUCUAAACUAUUUCAAAAGCCUCCUAAUUGGUCUCCUUGUUUCUUUUCUAUCUUCUUUCUAACCCAUCUUCACACUACUGUCAAAAUAAUCUAGUAUGUCACUCCCCAUUCUCAAAAAUUGUAAUAGUUGGAUUAUUUAUAUUGCCUUUGAUUUGGUCUCUUUGUCCCUCUCUAAUCCAUACUAUUUAUAGCUAUUAAAGUGCUACCUUUAAUGUUCAGGUAUAAUUAUGCCAUUUCCUUGUUCAAAAAGUUCCAGUGGCUUUCCCAUUGAAUCUAGAAUAAAACACAAAUACUUCUGUUUGGUAUUCACAACAAUUACCUUAGAUCUUUUCAACAAUGAGGUGAGUCAAGGCAAUUUCAAUAGAUUUGUGACAGAGAGAGCUAUCCACAUCCAGAAAGACAACUAUGGAGACUGAGUAUGGAUCAAAGUACAGUAAUUUCACUUUUGUUGUUCUUGUUGUUGUUUAUUUUCUUGGUUUUUUCUUUCUCAUGUUUUUCCCCUUUUGAUCUGAUUUUUCUUUUUCUUUCUUUCUUUUUUUUUGUGUUUUUUUUUCUUCUUAUUUAUUUAUUAAAAAAAAAUUUUUAUAUAACUUUUUAUUGACAGAUCCCAUGCCUGGGGUAAUUUUUUUUACAGCAUUGUCCCUUGCACUCACUUCUGUUCCGACUUUUCCCCUCCCUCCCUCCAACCCCUCCCCCAGAUGGCAAACAGUCCUAUACAAGUUAAAUAUGUCAGUAUAUCCUAGAUACAAUAUAUAUGUCCAGAACCAAACAGUUCUCUUGUUGCACAGGAAGAAUUGGAUUCAGAAGGUAACAAUAACUUGGGAAGAAAGACAAAAAUGCAAGCAGUUUACAUUCAUUUUCCAGUGUUCUUUCUUUGGAUGUCGUUGUGUCUGUCCAUCUUGAUCAAUUGAAACUGAGUUAGAUCUUCUCUUUGUCAAAGAAAUUCACUUCUGUCAGAAUACAUCCUCAUAUCGUUAUUGAGGUAUAUAAUGCUCUCCUGGUUCUUGAUUUUUCUUGAGAACAUGAUGAAUAUAGAAAUACAUUUAUAAGAAUUGCACAUGCUUAACUUAUAAUGGAUUGUAGCUGUAUAGGGUAUGGGGAAGAGCAGAGAAAGGGAAAAAAAUUUGGAACACACAGUUUUGCAAAGGUGAAUGUUGAAGACUAUCUAUUGUAUUUGGAAAAGUAAAAAUCUGUUAAAAAUAAAAAAUAAAGUCAUUUACAACCUGG